GGAAUUAGGUAGUGUUCCCCACCAGCAGCAUACAGUUCUCAGGGAGAGUCAAAGUGCUUAAAAACGAUAUAUAGAUUUUCAUCCUAUGGGGUUUUCGGAGAGAUCCAAGUAUUGUUUCAAGUGACAUCAGAACAGAAAUAUAAACUAAACAGGAAUAAAAGAGGACUAAAUUAUUGGGGAGGUCGUUUAGGCCAUUUAAAGAUAGAUCUAGAUAAAUCCUGACCUAUCCCCUACUAGGUAGUUUUUUCGAAUUACUUAGAAGAAAUGUUUUGUGACUUCUAAGAGUUCAUUUUCAAAUUGACCAAAGGGCUUCCAAUUUAAAGGACAGGUUCAUUAGAGUAGCAUAAUGAGUCACUUUAUAAUGAUGAGGGCCUUUGGAACUAGCAGCUGCCCCUGGAGGCCAUUAACAAAUGCACGCGUGACCAGGGUAAGGGUGACAUAAAGAAAACUUGAAAUAGCUCUCGCCAGCUUUCUCUGGACUGGCAGGAAAAGCUGAGCCCUGGGAACCUCAUUGGCAACUGCGGGGAGUGUCAACCCACUGUCCUAAGCAGGCCACUUUUCAGUUGGGUUGCAUCUAACCUCCCCUCACCCAGCUCUCCUCAGAGCCAACCUCAGAUGAAUCCUUUGCUCUGAGACCUCAGAUGGUCUGGAGAGUGACUCAGACUUUGCCUUGUGACUGCGAUUUUUGCCAUCGUUACCUUUAUUAGUAUUGUAAUAAUAAUAAGCAUAAUGUUUAGGCUUUUAUGUUCUCUUUUCCACCCACUGUUUGUUAUAUGUUGUGUUGUCUGAAACCUUUUAUAAAAUUCUCACGCUGUGUUUUUUAAUUUGCUAUUGAUUUUCCUUUGAGUCAUUAACCUGUCCAAUUAAAAACCCUCUGAUUUACUUUUCCCCAUUGGCAUCUAUUUGCCCUGCUCUUAGGUACCCUUGGCUUCUUACUAUAACCUGUUAUAUUUGUCUGCAAAGACACUCCCUGUGGAGAGAGCUCUGUUUCUCUCCCUUUGGUGUCCCACGGGCCCUGUGAUUCUCUUUGUCUCCAAAGACCAAAACUUCUGGCUCAGAGGGGCCAGUGCAGCCUGGAAAUAGCACGAAAGGCUCCGCUUUCUUUGGUGAAAGGUGACUUGAUGGUUUGGCUGGGCAUUCAGGCAGACUGGCGCCAGAGCCGCUGUGGGAGAGGAAAAGUGUGUCUGUGGCCAACCUGCCAUUUGCCUCUACACUAUCCAUUAUGACCCUUCUUGCUUACCAACAACUGGAUCUGCUUUGGGGCAGUAAUGUGCCAGUUAAAAUGUGCAUCUUCUAAGACUGCUUCUGGGGCUCCUGGGUCAUUGAUGACAUCACUGAGCUGCAACGCAAGCUCUGGCCUGGCAACCCCUCUACUACUUGUUGUGAAGGAGAAACGAACCUCUAGAUUAUUUGGGUCAUUGCAGCUCUAAGGUCACUCGGGUUUUUUCUGUGGCUUGGGGUUGAAUGUCAUCCUAGAAGAGCAGGGCUUCCUCCCACGAAUAGCCAUGACCUCGUCACUGCUGGCGUUUUGAACUGGAUGAUUCGCCCUGGAGGGUGGGGCUGGGGGUGUUGGACAUGGUAGAAAUAUUCAACCUCUUCCACUCAAUGCCAGGAGCACCCCCUAGUCGUGACAACCAAAAAUGUCUCCAGACAUUGCCAAAUGUCCCCCCUAGGGACAAAAUUGCUCUGGUUCCUGGAAGCAGAACCCCAAAGGCACAGAUGUAUGAGUCCAUCUCUGUACUUGAGCAGUUUGGGUUUACAGCAUUUUUGUUCAGAUAUAUCACUGGAUAUUUGCAGUGCAGCAUCUUUUAUGGUUUCCUUUUUAUAGCUUCAGUGUUUUUAUUCCUCUAAUGUUUCCAGUUUUUCUAUGGCAUUUACAAGCUGGGCUUUGUCUUUCUGAAUCACUGUGCAUUUUCCUUUGUCAGUUCCUGUAGCCUCUUUUUUUAAAAUUUAGCAUAACUCAUCUUUAUUUAAAAAAAUAAUAGAUUCUGCUUUACUUUCCCCCUAGGUACCUCUGUCAACUCUUUAUAUUUAAUUUGAUAGAAGUUUGGAGUUUAAUUGGUAAAACCAGGAGGAAUUAUAUGUAUUAUAUAAAUAAUAUUUAAUAUUUAUUUAUGAAUGUCCAAAAAAAACAAGUACCUAAAUUAAACUGGAUCAUACUGUCUGCAAAACUCCACAGCUUGAUUGAUUUCUUGAUGCAAUUCCUGUUCUUGAUUCUCUCUGUACUGUUGGUACCACCAACAGACACGUUUGUCAUGUGGUAUAAGGAGGAAAGAGUGUACGUGAACCUGGGUUACCUGGUCCUACCUGGGGGCAGAGCACACAGGUGUGUGACUUGGCAGCAGAUGGCACCUUUGGGUAGAAGCAGCCCUAUGCCAGGUGGCUUGGUGAGCAGAGUAUUCGGCCCCAGUAGGCCUCAGCCAGGGACCCAGGGCACUGAAUGUCCAGCAUGAUUGUAUGUGGUGGCCUAGUGGGCACAGAACACAAUUUGCUGAGAUGCCAGUUCUACAAGGCUGCUAUGGCUUUUGCUACCUCUGAGAAAGAGGUUCCAGAACAAUGUCCCAGCCUGCUGCCCCACGAAAGCACCACCUCAGGUUAAGAUUAGUUCCUUUAUGCUGGUUUCCAGAGUUCAGGAGGCUGGGCAUCCCAAUUUAAUAUUUUUAAAAAUUAUAGACACAUGGAGUUCCUGUCAUGGGUCAGUGGUUAACGAAUCCAACUAGGAACCAUGAGGUUGUGGGUUCGAUCCUUGACCUUGUUCAGUGGGUUAAGGAUCCGGCGAUGCCGUGAGCUAUGGUGUAGGUGGCAAACAUGGCUCUGAUCUGGGAUUGCUGUUGCUGUGGCUGUGGCAUAGGCCAGUGGCUACAGCUCCGAUUAGACCCUAGCCUGGGCACCUCCAUAUGCUGUGGGUGCAGCCCUAGAAAAAGACAAAAAAAUUAAAAAGUGAAAUAAAAUAAAAUAAAAUUACAGACACAACCUCCAGAUCAGGGGAGAAAUAACCUGUCACUUCCACAUGUCAUCACCAGUUUCCCCAGUUUUCCAAAACAAAAUACCUGCAAGUUUCUCCAAAAGGCUCUUUAAAAUUAUUCUUGUCCUUUCCACUGUCUUUGUAACUGGAAACAGAAAUUUCUUCUCAGUGCUGAGACCUCCUGGUUAAGUUCUACCAAAUGGAUGCACAUUUUUGUUUCUAGUGAAAUUGAUGAAGGAUUUUUCCAUCUUCAGGCUUGAUUCUGAUACCCCAAACCCAUGCUAAAUAGAAUGGCUGAUCAAAUACCAUGUAUUUUUUGGGGCGCCCUCUGAACACACAGUGAUGAUACCCUUGGGAAACCGUAGCAAUCAAAGACCUGUGUGUGAGCCUCUGGUUACAUGUUUCUUAUUAAACAGAAAAUAAUAGAAAUGUCAAAAUAAUGAUCAACCCAACUGGGUUAUACUAGCUUGCAUCUACCUUAGGCUAAGAUGAAAAAGCUUGUUGACAGGACGUUACCGCUCUUGAAAUGCAGAAAGAAAAAUCUAGAAGGAUUACAGGAGUGAAGGUCUAGGACAUCUUUGUUUCAGAAACAAGAGAUGUAGAAACUCUUUCUCUGCAGGGUAAGAAGAACACUAGGGAAGGGGCUCCUUAGGGCCUAGGAAUGGUCCUUUUACAAGGCAAGGUGGGCCCUUUUAGGGCCCAGACUCCUCAGAAGGUGGGUUAGAAAGUGCUGUUUAAGCUUUCUGGUUGUUUGUUUCAUAAACAAAGUUAAAAUCAAGCACUUGUCCAAUCCAAGUCCAAAGUGAAUUUAGUCCCGAUUGUGUACAGCAGAUGUGGGGACCCAGUUAGAAGCUGGUGCCUCGACUCAAGGCAAGGGUGGCCUGUGACACCGGACUUUGAAUUAUAUUAGUCAACACACAUGUACACACGUGCACACACACACAUGCAUGUAAAAUUAAAUAAUAGCUAGAUUUACCUCUUUGUGUUAUUUAAUUUUAACACUAGCCUUUAUUCAUACUUAUUCAAACAAUCAUCGUGUUCAUAUAUUUUGAACCAAAAAAAAAAAAAUCAGGAUAUAUUCAUCAACAAAAGAGUUUCAUUUUUCUUUCUCAUUUGUGAAUGCAAUAACAGCAGGGAAGAAUCUUUGAAAGUGAGACUAUCCCAGAAAAUCUAAGACAAAUAAAUGGUUGCUAUAAACUGUCAAUAUUAAAAAAAUAUUAAAGGAAUAUUGCCAUUCCUCAUUGCUGGUUGCUUGAAAACUAUGCAGAAUACGAUUCCUCUCUUCUUCUUUGUCAUUUACUUAUUUAUUUAUUUUCUAAAGGAACGUGUAUGUCUGUUUUCUUCUUUAGAAAUAAAAAAAGUCAGGAGAAAAGGGACAAUUAGCCAUCAAGAAGAAUGAGUCAGGUUGACAAAGACGCUGAGGACACAACUGGUCAUUUCUCCCAGAAUCCUCAUAAAAAGGACGGUGCAUCAGCAGAUGGCUUGGGGUGAUGAGCUGCAGGCACUGGACUGGGGGUGGCGGGGGAGAAUGGCAGACAGGGAAAUCAAAUACAGUUUCCUCAUAAAGCAGAGUAGCGAGGAAAUUAAUGUCUUAUUGAAAACAAAGCAGCAAUCUGGUGACUGCUCUCUGGAAAGCCUCUCCCCCAAGCCUAGGGCAAACCAGAAAAUCCAAUAGGAAGUUUUUAUCAUUUAAUGGCAGGAAGGGGCCAUUAGCAUCCAAUACUGCAAGAAGCGCACCAAACAGACAUAUUCCUUAGAUUUGUAAUUAACUCUUCAAAGUGCUAAGUCUGCUAUUAAAAAGAAAGCCUGACAGUUGAAGGGUGGGAGCAGUGCUUUUUAAAUGUACAACGUUUCAAGCUCUACCAGGCACAAAGAAACUCUCCAGCUGAUUAACAUCCUGGGAUGCUGCUUUAGUGAAGGAAGGUGAAAUGGGCAGUUUCAUUACAUAGGCGUAUGUAUCCUUUUUCCUCUAAUGUUUCAAUUCAUGGGUCUGCAGAUCAGCUUGGAGGAGCACAGCGCAGAGUAGCCUAACAUCCGAGCAGGGGACCCUGAACCUCUGAACCCAUUCGUCCCGACAUUAAAAAUAAAUGUAAGUCCUGUCUAUGGCUUUCCGUCUAGGAAACUCUUCCUCUACACAAAUGGGGCUUUACUUUGAAAAAACUCCUGGAAAUAGAGCAGAACGUACAGGGGUCUUGCUCAGUAGGGCACUGUUUUGGACAAACCUGAAAUGCGAAAGGCAAUAUCGGGUCCUGGGAAAACACAGACAUACAGGGACCUCUAGAACAACGGGUAGGUAUGUUUUGCUGAUGAAGAUGCAGGCAAGAUUCAAUCGCGGAUUUUACCUCACAGCAUGAAGAUGAGAAAUACUCAUGCUCUGACUUGGCUCCCCUGGGCUUGAAGGCUCCAGUGCAUUUCGUUGGCCUGCAGGCACUUACCUGCGGAUGGGAGACGGCUGUCAUUUUCAUUUAACUUUAUUCUAUUUCACUUUAUAACCCUACACGCAAGGUUCUGCAUAAUCCUGAAGAAACAAACCCCAUGGUGCCAUGUUUUUAUUUCAUUGGCAAAUUGGAGAUCGGUUUGAUGUGCGUGUCUCAGUAGGCUGGGAACAACUUUCUUCUUUUUUAAAAAAUAUAAUUUCACAGUAACCAUGUCACAUUUGCAUGAACUGGUAAUCCUUGCCAGCAAGCGUUAACAGUUGUUUCAGGUUAGAUCCAAUAACCAGUAUGUUUAGCGUAGCAGGUACUCGCAGGGGUCUAUCGUGACAUGGAGAAAAGGGAACUCUAGUGCACUGUUGCUGGGAGCAUAAAAUGGUAAUAAAACAGACCAAGCUGUGAAGGUUUAUUAAGCUAUAAUAUAACUGAAAUAGAAUAUGAUCAAAGAAUUCUUGAUUUAUCUUGACUCCUUGUGCUUGAGGAAAAUCCGGUUUACCUGGCAAGGCAGAGGGGGGCUUCCGUAUUCUAGAAAAGGUCUCCUUGGCAUGUUGAAGGACUUCCCCUGGGCUGCUCCUCCUUCUGUCUCAGCAUCUGUCAAGGCGUCCGGCUUCCUUCCCUUCAUGUGUCUCUGGCAGAUUUUUAUCGUUUGUUCUAAGAGUUGAGAGCUUUUCCUCCCUAACUCAUAAAUCAAAGAAAAGCAGAGGAAAACUGUGGGGAAAGGGAGGUUAUGAGAGGGAAAUAAAGGAAUUCUCUUGUCAUGCAGCUGGUUAAGGAUACGGCAUUGUCACUGCCAUGGCUUGGGUUGCUGCUGUUGGUGUAGGUUCAGUCCCUGCCCAGGAACUUCCACAUGCCAAGGGCAUGGCCAAAAACAAAAAAA
rnacentral:lncRNA from 1 species